GUCUAUGGCCACACCACCCUGAACAUACCCUAUCUUAUCUGGUCUUGAAAGCUAAGCAGGGUCAGGCCUGGUUAAUACUUGGAUGGAAGACAGAUCUUCAGAAGAGACUGCUCAAAGACA
rnacentral:rRNA from 1 species